GGCUUGGUAGCUCAGUUGGUAGAGCAGAGGACUGAAAAUCCUUGUGUCGGCAGUUCAAUUCUGUCCCAAGCCA
rnacentral:tRNA from 2 species